rnacentral:rRNA from 1 species
UACGUAGGGUCCGAGCGUUGUCCGGAAUUAUUGGGCGUAAAGAGCUCGUAGGCGGUCUGUCGCGUCGGCUGUGAAAACACGGGGCUCAACUCCGUGCCUGCAGUCGAUACGGGCAGACUAGAGUUCGGUAGGGGAGACUGGAAUUCCUGGUGUAGCGGUGAAAUGCGCAGAUAUCAGGAAGAACACCUAUGGCGAAGGCAGCUCUCUGGGACGGUACUGACGCUGAGACGCGAAAGCGUGGGGAGCGAACAGG